GACGAACGCUGGCGGCGUGCUUAACACAUGCAAGUCGAACGGAAAGGCCCUGCUUUUGUGGGGUGCUCGAGUGGCGAACGGGUGAGUAACACGUGAGUAACCUGCCCUUGACUUUGGGAUAACUUCGGGAAACUGGGGCUAAUACCGGAUAGGCGCUCCUGCUGCAUGGUGGGGGUUGGAAAGUUUCGGCGGUUGGGGAUGGACUCGCGGCUUAUCAGCUUGUUGGUGGGGUAGUGGCUUACCAAGGCUUUGACGGGUAGCCGGCCUGGGAGGGUGACCGGCCACAUUGGGACUGAGAUACGGCCCAGACUCCAACGGGAGGCAGCAGUGGGGAAUAUUGCACAAGGGGCGGAAGCCUGAUGAAGCAACGCCGCGUGCGGGAUGACGGCCUUCGGGUGGUAAACCGCUUUCGCCUGUGACGAAGCGUGAGUGACGGUAAUGGGUAAAGAAGCACCGGCUAACUACGUG
rnacentral:rRNA from 1 species